rnacentral:rRNA from 1 species
CGGGUGAGUACGCGUAGGAAUCUGCCCAGUAGCGGGGGAUAGCGCGGGGAAACCGUGAUAAUACCGCAUACGCNCUAAGGGGGAAAGGUGGCCUCUUCUUGAAAGCUACCGCUAUUGGAGGAGCCUGCGUCGGAUUAGCUGGUUGGUGGGGUAAUGGCCUACCAAGGCGACGAUCCGUAGCUGGUCUGAGAGGACGAUCAGCCACACUGGGACUGAGACACGGGCCAGACUCCUACGGGAGGCAGCAGUGGGGAAUAUUGGACAAUGGGCGCAAGCCUGAUCCAGCCAUGCCGCGUGUGUGAAGAAGGCCUUCGGGUUGUAAAGCACUUUCAGGAGGGAAGAAAAGCGCUGUGUGAAUAAUGCGGUGUCUUGACGUUACCUUCAGAAGAAGCACCGGCUAACUCCGUGCCAGCAGCCGCGGUAAUACGGAGGGUGCGAACGUUAAUCGGAAUUACUGGGCGUAAAGCGCGCGUAGGCGGCUUGUUAAGUCAGAUGUGAAAGCCCCGGGCUCAACCUGGGAAUUG